rnacentral:rRNA from 1 species
AGAACGACUCUCGGCAACGGAUAUCUAGGCUCUCGCAUCGAUGAAGAACGUAGCGAAAUGCGAUACUUGGUGUGAAUUGCAGAAUCCCGUGAACCAUCGAGUCUUUGAACGCAAGUUGCGCCCGAAGCCAUCAGGCCGAGGGCACGCCUGCCUGGGUGUCACAGA